AAGGAGUCUAACAUAUCUGCGAGUAUUUGGGUGUCAAACCCGAGUGCGUAAUGAAAGUGAAAGUUGGAUCCACUCGCAAGGUGCAGCUUCGACCGAACUGGAUCUUUCGUGAUGGAUUUGGGUAAGAGCAUAUAUGUUGGGACCCGAAAGAUGGUGAACUAUGCCUGAAUAGGGUGAAGUCAGAGGAAACUCUGAUGGAGGCUCGUAGCGAUUCUGACGUGCAAAUCGAUCGUCAAAUUUGGGUAUAGGGGCGAAAGACUAAUCGAACCAUCUAGUAGCUGGUUCCUGC
rnacentral:misc_RNA from 1 species